CCUACGGGUUGCAGCAGUAGGGAAUCUUCGGCAAUGGACGAAAGUCUGACCGAGCAACGCCGCGUGAGUGAAGAAGGUUUUCGGAUCGUAAAACUCUGUUGUUAGAGAAGAACAAGGACGUUAGUAACUGAACGUCCCCUGACGGUAUCUAACCAGAAAGCCACGGCUAACUACGUGCCAGCAGCCGCGGUAAUACGUAGGUGGCAAGCGUUGUCCGGAUUUAUUGGGCGUAAAGCGAGCGCAGGCGGUUUCUUAAGUCUGAUGUGAAAGCCCCCGGCUCAACCGGGGAGGGUCAUUGGAAACUGGGAGACUUGAGUGCAGAAGAGGAGAGUGGAAUUCCAUGUGUAGCGGUGAAAUGCGUAGAUAUAUGGAGGAACACCAGUGGCGAAGGCGGCUCUCUGGUCUGUAACUGACGCUGAGGCUCGAAAGCGUGGGGAGCAAACAGGAUUAGAUACCCCAGUAGUC
rnacentral:rRNA from 1 species